UAAAUUGAGAGUUUGAUCCUGGCUCAGGAUGAACGCUGGCGGCGUGCUUAACACAUGCAAGUCGAGCGAUGAAGUUUCCUUCGGGAAACGGAUUAGCGGCGGACGGGUGAGUAACACGUGGGUAACCUGCCUCAUAGAGUGGAAUAGCCUUCCGAAAGG
rnacentral:rRNA from 1 species